GUGUCAGCCGCCGCGGUAAUACAGAGGUCCCGAGCGUUGUUCGGAUUCACUGGGCGUAAAGGGUGCGUAGGUGGCAUGGCAAGUUUGAUGUGAAAGCUCAGGGCUUAACCCUGAAAUGGCAUUGAAUACUGCUGUGCUGGAGGUUUGGAGGGGGGACUGGAAUUCUCGGUGUAGCAGUGAAAUGCGUAGAUAUCGAGAGGAACACCAGUGGCGAAGGCGAGUCCCUGGACAACACCUGACACUGAGGCACGAAAGCCGGGGGAGCAAACAGGAUUAGAUACCCUAGUAGUCC
rnacentral:rRNA from 1 species